AUUGAACGCUGGCGGCAGGCCUAACACAUGCCAGUCGAGCGGAUGAAGGGAGCUUGCUCCUGGAUUCAGCGGCGGACGGGUGAGUAAUGCCUAGGAAUCUGCCUGGUAGUGGGGGAUAACGUCCGGAAACGGGCACUAAUACCGCAUACGUCCUGAGGGAGAAAGUGGGGGAUCUUCGGACCUCACGCUAUCAGAUGAGCCUAGGUCGGAUUAGCUAGUUGGUGGGGUAAAGGCCUACCAAGGCGACGAUCCGUAACUGGUCUGAGAGGAUGAUCAGUCACACUGGAACUGAGACACGGUCCAGACUCCUACGGGAGGCAGCAGUGGGGAAUAUUGGACAAUGGGCGAAAGCCUGAUCCAGCCAUGCCGCGUGUGUGAAGAAGGUCUUCGGAUUGUAAAGCACUUUAAGUUGGGAGGAAGGGCAGUAAGUUAAUACCUUGCUGUUUUGACGUUACCAACAGAAUAAGCACCGGCUAACUUCGUG
rnacentral:rRNA from 1 species